rnacentral:rRNA from 1 species
UAACGACUCUCGGCAACGGAUAUCUCGGCUCUCGCAUCGAUGAAGAACGUAGCGAACUGCGAUACUUGGUGUGAAUUGCAGAAUCCCGUGAACCAUCGAGUCUUUGAACGCAAGUUGCGCCCGAGGCCAUUUGGACGAGGGCACGUUUGCCUGGGUGUCA